UGAAGAAUAAAGAUAAGACUCAUUUAUGGUACAACUUGUCAGUAUAGAACAAGAAUGAUGAAUUAAGAGCUACCUCUAGGCAGGAGAGAGAGACCACCUAUACUAAUUAUUGCUAUUUAGUGGCACGGGCUCCCUGUGUGUCCCAGCAUCAGAAAAUCAGAGUAUACUAAUAGACACCAUUUAGGAUAUUUUAAGUUCUGUAAUGCUGUUACUGUAAAUUUCCUUUGACUGCAUAUAUGGCCACAGCAACUAAUUGUUUAUGAACUGCAAACCCUGUGAGUGUAGGAACUUUGUCCUUCUGCCAGAGCUCAGGGGAAGAUAAAGCAAGACUGGGAGGUUGGUUACAAAAGGGUUUAGUGAAAGAUUCUGAGAACAGUUUUACUAAGGCAGAGCAUGCCACUGUUCCUUCACAAAGGUAAGUAGACAGAAGGAUCUUAACUGCCACAUUAUUAUCAUCCUCUCUUUGUCAGUGCUCCAGAGGUGAGCAGUGUGAUGUGUUUUAAGCAGCUGAAUGUGUCAAAUGCAUGCAAGCUCCCAACUUGUACAGCCCCAUGUUCCUCUUUUGGGUCCUUUGCAGAAUCUCACCUCUUCCUAUGAAACUAUGAUUUCACGCUCCUGAUGUGACAGACUGUGAUGGUGUGAGGCUGCAGAGAGGGUGUUUGUUCCUUCUGUAUUUGUUCCUCUCAAAUUCUUUAAGUAGCUGACAGUUAAAUAGAGUAUCAAACAUUAGGAGAUGUUGCAGUGCCAUGGCAGUCUCCAGACAGCAGGGAAGUUGUGGGAAUACAAGGCAGUGUGCUUGUAAUUCACAAUAGGAGGUUACAUUUUCUCUUUUGAUUGCCAUCAUCAGGAAAAAAAAGAUAAGGGCUCUCUCUUUUUGGCAGUUGCUGCUUGCUGACAUGCAGGGACAGAAACCUUCUCCUUAUGGAAUAGAAAUUGGUUUCAUAGACUCAAACACAGUUUGCAUUCACUGAGGUGCACUAAAAUUCACAAUAAUCUCAUUAGAUGUACUCUUGUCCUUAUAUUUAGUGUUUCAAUAACAAAUACAGGUGAAAUGGUUACACCUGAAUUUAUUUCUGUAAUAAAAUUAGGUAAGUUUUGUUAAACUGAUUAGCUUCUAGGCAAGGGUAUGAUUAGGUGGUACUUCAAACCCAUUUCAGUUUUCACAUCACAUCUGAUAUUUAAUCAUCACAUUUAUACUGUAUUCUCAUUUUUUUUCUUCAUUCAAAAGCUUCCAUUAUCUUCACCAGUUUAGGAAUUUACAAAGCCUCUUCCCCUAAGGAACAUAUUGUUGUGUUGCACUUUUUAAUAAACCCUGCUUAUAACAGGUUAGAGUUUUUUAAAAGGAUAAUUUUUUACUUUGGCAAACCAAUGUAAAGGACCUCCUCAACUAAUAAUUAAAAUGAUUAUUUUGUUAUGAAGUCAUUAAGAAUGUAUGCUCUCUAGGGUUAUUCUAAUUUUGUGUGUGACAGAUUUUCAUGUUUCUGUUUAAAUUUCUUUUGAUGGCAUUCAUUUCUUCUUAGCAUUUUGUGUCUGUUUACUUUCCUAGUUUCUAAUUAUUUCCGUCUAUAUUUUUUCAGUGUGGCCUACAUAUGUUUCAUUUUCUUGCUUUUAUCUUUCUACUGUUUGAUGAGUUGCAACAUCUAACAUUACAUAAAGUUAUAUUAUUAACAUAUGAUAAAAGCUUAUGUGAUGAAAGAAUAUCAGAGAUUAAUCCUUGAUCUUCAUGAUUAAAAUAACUGCACUUAUAUGCAUGAUGAGAUCUUAAACACUUGCCAAUUAUAUACUGAGAUAAAAUAAUAUCCUGUAAAACCUUUUUUCUUUUAUUCAUUUUAGUAAAAGUUUUCUGACCUCUGAAUUCUAAUACUGUACGUCUCAUGAAUAGUAGCUGAGCAUAUUAAAUCUACAAUAAUAAAUAGAAUUUUUAUACAGUUCAUAUUAAUGGUGUCUUAGGAUAUGAAAUAAAUCCUGUGAAUAUAAAAAAUACAGUUUUACAGGAGGCAAUAUCAAAAUCAUGUAUUUGUAACAGUUCCUUAAUGGGGAACACUGGACCUAAACUCUUGAUAACUGGUUAAAUUAUUUUUAAAACGUGAAGUUACUGAUGGAGUUUAUACUCACAUAGUGCCAAGUGACACUGUUGAUCCUAUGCAAGGAUCACGAAUGUCAAAUUUGCCAUUUUCUCAUCCUUAUUCAAACUAGUAAUACUUCUGUUUUACUUCAUGCAUUUGAAUGUUUGUGUAAUGCAUAUGUAUUUUAAUCAUAAAGAUAAGUAUGAGAGGAUACUGGGUUUCUCUUCACUAGUAAUUUAUAAGCAGCAUUUUAGUUACCUAUGGACUUUUAACUAAUUCUAUAAACCUUGUUGGCAUCAGUUUUUCAUUUGAAGGAAAAAUCCUACUGUUCCCUUUAAAAUAUGACUAGAUGGAGAUAGAUUAAAGAUAUCCAUGCCACCUACACUUCUAAUUAGCUAGGUUCACAUGUCUUUCAGUGGCACAGAGGCACCUCACUGAGAACUAUGCUUUUGAGGUUUGCACUUAUGAGCUAUUGAAAGUUCUUCCCAGCUGUAGAAACAUUAUUUUCUUUUGGAAGGACUCCCAUAAAUCAUCAUGAGCUAAAUUUACAGCGCUGCUGUAUUGUGACACAAGAAGACAUUUUGCAUGGUAGCAGUGUAACUUCCCUUGAAAGUGGGGGGGCAUGUAGCAGUGAUCUCUAGCACUGCAGGCCAGUGGCUAUCAGUGCAAGGGCAUGGCAGGCUAUUGUUCCACAUUUCUUUAUCUUUCCUGGUUUGUAUUUUGCUCUUGAAUAGAGAACUUGGCAGCAAUCCAUACACUCCGUUGUGUGCUGGCUAGGACUGCUGCAAUUCUGCAUUGCAUUUGCAGAGGCCUUAGAAAAAGGGGAAACUCCUUUAUUCCCUUCCUACUUGAGGUUCCUUGAGUGUUGGCUGGGUUCCAGAUACACAAAAUUAGUCGUGGUUAUUGUUUAACUAAUGAAGUUGACCAGACACCAUGUAACACUUCAUACAUAUUUGUGGUUUGGUAUAAUGCUUCAAGUCAUCUUUACUGCAGUACAACAUAAAUGCUAUGUAAUUUUACUCAGAUUCAAAGUACAUAUUUUCUUUAGCUGAGUGAUCAUUUAAGAUGAGGGCAAAGUAGGAUUGGGACUAUUAGACCUGAAAAAAGUAAUGUCUGACUCCAGCUCAAAAGCACUACCCCACUGCAUAAUAAAAAACAGAUAGGGUAGGACACCUGCCAGCUCCACACUACUGGUAAGCCUCUUUUUAUGAGCUAGAACUUGCUGCAGAGUUUUUAGAACUGCAUUCUGUAUGUUUUGGUUUAUAAGGAAAUAGAACAUACCAAUAAAGGAAAUCUGGACAGAUUAGGAAAUAUGUCCUAAAAGGAACUUCUUCAGGGGCUCCUGUGCUCAAAUCCAUGGGUUUCCAGUACCUUUCUGCUUUGUUGAGUGUAGGUAAUUUUGGUGUGUUUAAAAACAAUUAAAUGCAGUGAACUGUUCAUGAUAGAGUCUAUUAACUUUCCAAAUAAAGAUAUAUCCACUGGACGUAGAACAAAACUAAUUUUUUCUUAGUGUGUCUGAUUAGUUCUGUCUCUGAUUUGCUCUGCUUUUGACUUUUGCUUUAUGCUCCAUGAAGGAGACAAUCUGGCUGCUUUAAUAGCUUUUACUUUCUUUUAAAAUUGUUUAAUUUCAACUGUAGCAGAGAGUAUAAAAAUAUUUUAAUUGACUCUAUUUCAGCACUGCCUAAAUACAUUGUUCAGUGAUUGAAAAUAAAAGAAGAAUUAUUUUUCUGACCUUUUGAGAAGUGAAAAUUAAUGUUGUUGAUCCUGGAAAAAUGUGAUAGCAUUAUGGCAUGUUGUCUCUUGCUCUAAAUAUGCUCAAGCCUUCUGUUGUGUUCAGAUUUGAUGCAAGGUUGUAGAGAACUGUGUGCAUUUUGUCAGAUAAGCAGGUUUGAUGGGUGUGUAUAAUUGAAUGGAAGUGGCUACAGAGCUAACGACCAAGGAAGCCAUAUGUAACUCAGAGACUUCUGACAACUCUGGCACUUUUCACAUUCUAUAUGUUCUAUGUAUGAUACUUACAAAAAUAGGAUUGUUUAAAAAAAAACUCCACAAAUUAUUACUUCCAUUGUUACUUUGUAAUGAUUCAGAUGCCUUAGUUUUCAAACAUACGAGUGCAGGUAUCUCAGAUGGACACAUAAAAACCAUUGUGAAGUUGUGUAAUGUUUAUAACACUGUAUUUCACAGACUAAAAGUUGAAUUGAUGACCACUUUUAAUACUGUAAGUAACUAUUCUAGAACUAAUGCUGAACCUGUGAUAUUCCAUGAUUACAAGAUUUCAAACCUUUCAUUUUAUAAGCAAUAAAUGUUGCCUAUUUUUUGCAUUUUAGUUAAAGUGUGGUGGCAUUUUUGAAUUUAUUUUAGUUGUGCAUUUGAGUGUUAGUAUUUCAGGCUGGGAAAAAAAAAAGUAAAUCUGUGCUGCUGUUUUUCCUAAAAUAGUGUAUUUGUAGGAUCUGCCCAGAUGAUUAGAAUAUCAGGCAUCACCCCUACAAACAGACUUCAGAGAAGAUAGACAAGAAUAAAAAAAAAUGUUCCACAGAAAUGGAACAUUUUUGAUGUUAUUAUAUGAUUAUAUGAUGUGUGUAUAGAUUUUGUAAUUUUCUUGUAGCAGAAAUAGGAUUCCAGCUAUAACAUGUAACAGAUACGUUGUUUAUCUUAUUAUAGGACCCCAUACCACGGUAUGACAUGGCAAUCCCAUAAGUAUUUGGAAGAAAGAAUGUUACAGCUCAGGAACAGCAAAUCACCUCAUUUAAAACUGUAGGGAGAACAGACAAAAUUAUAUCUAACUCUAGGGGCUCUUCCCAAGUUCGUUUUUUUUUGUUGUUGUUGUUGUUUUUUGGUUUUUUUUGUUUUGUUUUGGUUUUGGUUUUUUGUUUUUUUUUUUAUUCUUUGGAUUUUUUUCAUAAAAAGGCAUAUCCAAAUUACAUAUUCAUUAUAUCUUAGCUUUUCACUGUGGGUACCUGUAGAGUAAGUGGUAAAAGUCUCCCACAGCAUGUUCAUUUUUAAUGAGAACAAAGCACUUACACUGUGUAUCACAAUCAGAUCACUUGUCAUUCUGUAACAGGACCACAACCAUCUGAGCUGUUCUCACAGAGGGCCUCUUCCCUUUGGACUAAGGGCUGAGCUGUACAAAUCGCUCGUCAGGUCUUGGUUAUGCCCAGUAUACAAAUGGUGAUCUAGAAAACAGCCCUAUCAUCAACUUGGUGUUCAUCUUCCCCACUAUUUAAGGUUGUCUGAAUAGAGAUUAGGGUUCUUAUAUCAGUUUUCAGGCAAUAAUCACUUCAGCUUCUCUUUCACAUAUGGAUUGUGAUUGAGUGCUCAUUAUGACUGCAACAAGCUCAUACUUUUAAUACAUGAUCGGGACUAGCCUUUCACUCAUCUAAAUUAAUAUAGUUCUCUUGAUAUAGUAGAACAAGUUUAUAUAAGAUGGAAGGUCAAAAUUUAAGGAGUUUUGUAAGAUAGUGGAGUCACAAAGGGAUGAGACACAGCUGUGUAGCACUGUAACAGCUAACUUGUAACCUGCUGAUACCUAAAUCUGUGCUACUGUAAUACAAAGAAUUCCUGUAGAAUGGAUCAGAGUUUGGAGUCUCAGAAAAGGGUUUAGAAAAUCAUCACGCUGAGCAGAGAGACUGAGGUAGCCAGUAGGAAAUGCUGAACACAGAAAUACAUCUUAAAUUAGAUAUCUCUUUGAGAUUUAAGCACCUUACUCAGCACUACUGGGAAGCAUUACCAUGCUCUGGGGAUUUCAGUCCUGAGUCGUUUCCUGACCUAAGUGUUUCUUCAAUAUAUUAAAUACACAAAUACAUAAAUAAAUGGUCUUAAUACUUUCUGUCUGGGAGCUUACAUCAUGACUUCCCAUUUUUCUUCAACAGUGUAAUGUUUAGCUUGUUCCAGUGUCAAAUGAAUUACAAAAAAUGCUCCUAUAUUUGAGGAGAAUGGCCUAAUGAUCAGGUAUAGGUGUGUCUGGGGUAUGGCUGAAUUGCUUGUUUAGUACCCCUUCUGAUGAAGCUGUUGCAUUUUACAUAAAGGAAUUAAAGAUCUGUUGGUUCAAGAAAAAUCUUCAGUAGUGUUACAGAAGAUUUUCAAUCUGAGGAGACUUUUCAGUCACCUGAAUGAACCAGAAUUUCAUUAGUUUAGGUUUAAAUAUCUAUGAUGAAAUUACUGUAUUUUAUAAGUAGUAGUGUAAAUGCCAGUAUUUUUCAAUACCUGCUUUUCCUCUUUAUGUAAUAAAAUCUGUAAAUUACCUAGAGAAGAAAAAGUAUCCUAUAAUGUUUCUAAACCCAUUUUGUAUUCCAUUUUAUCUAUUUUAAUCAGUACAAUACAAAUCUUUUUACUACAGACUUUGGACUAAACCCCCUCAUCUCUUGCAUCCCAAGUGUGUAGAAUUGUUCUGAACAUCCUCUUUUUUAAUGUAUUAUGCAUCAGCAGUAGGUAAUUAAAACUUCUUCUGUCAUUUUCUUAGCACCACUUUGAUUUACUCACAGAAAGAAGUUUACAAAAUGACCACAGGAAAGCUGUUUUCUGCUGAAGGGGGUAGAAUGAGAGUUAAUAGAUCUGUCACAGAAAUCCUAUGUAAAGAUAUAUUGAAUACUCUUUUCCCUUUUUCAUCCUGACCGCUAAAUUGGAUGCUUGCUGAAAAUCUGCAACAAUAAAUGCUUAGAAAAUUAAGGAGCUGCUGUCCUCUCAGGAGGUCACAAUAUCUAGGCAACUUCUGCAGAUAGAACGAAAAGAAAAGAAAAGAAAAGAAAAGAAAAGAAAAGAAAAGAAAAGAAAAGAAAAGAAAAGAAAAGAAAAGAAAAGAAAAGAAAAGAAAAGAAAAGAAAAGAAAGAGAGAAAGGAAAGAAAGAGAGAAAGGAAAGAAAAAGAAAGAAAAGAAAGAAAGAAAGAAAGAAAGAAAGAAAGAAAGAAAGAAAGAAAGAAAGAAAGAAAGAAAGAAAGAAAGAAAGAAAGAAAGAAAGAAAGAAAGAAAGAAA